UACGGAGGAUCCAAGCGUUAUCCGGAAUCAUUGGGUUUAAAGGGUCCGUAGGCGGUUUAAUAAGUCAGUGGUGAAAGCCCAUCGCUCAACGGUGGAACGGCCAUUGAUACUGUUAGACUUGAAUUAUUAGGAAGUAACUAGAAUAUGUAGUGUAGCGGUGAAAUGCUUAGAGAUUACAUGGAAUACCAAUUGCGAAGGCAGGUUACUACUAAUGGAUUGACGCUGAUGGACGAAAGCGUGGGGUAGCGAACAGG
rnacentral:rRNA from 1 species